UACAGAGGGUGCGAGCGUUAAUCGGAAUUACUGGGCGUAGAGGGCGCGUAGGCGGUUAGUUAAGAUAGAUGUGAAAUCCCUGGGCUUAACCUAGGAACUGCAUCUGUUACUGGCUAGCUGGAGUGCGGUAGAGGGUAGUGGAAUUUCCGGUGUAGCGGUGAAAUGCGUAGAUCUCGAGAGGAACACCAAUGGCGAAGGCAGCUUCUUGGUCCAUACCUGACGUUGAGGCACGAAAGCGUGGGGAGCAAACAGC
rnacentral:rRNA from 1 species